UACAGAGGUCUCAAGCGUUGUUCGGAUUCAUUGGGCGUAAAGGGUGCGUAGGCGGCGCCGUAAGUCGGAUGUGAAAGUCCCCGGGCUUAACCUGGGAAUGGCAUUUGGGACUGCAAGGCUCGAGUGCGGCAGAGGAGACUGGAAUUCCUGGUGUAGCAGUGAAAUGCGUAGAUAUCAGGAGGAAUACCGAUGGCGAAGGCAGGUCCCUGGGCUGACGACGACGCUCAUGCACGAAAGCGUGGGGAGCA
rnacentral:rRNA from 1 species